UAACCACUCAAGCCUUUGCUUGGUAUUGGGGUUCGCCGUCUCGCGGCCCCUAAAAUCAGUGGCGGUGCCUGUCGGCUCUACGCGUAGUAAUACUCCUCGCGAUUGAGUCCGGUAGGUAGCUUGCCAGCAACCCCUCAUUUUUACA
rnacentral:misc_RNA from 1 species